rnacentral:rRNA from 1 species
GACGAACGCUGGCGGCGUGCUUAACACAUGCAAGUCGAACGAAGUGGCGAACGGGUGAGUAACGCGUAAUCAACCUGCCCUUCAGAGGGGGACAACAGGUGGAAACGACUGAUAAUACCGCAUACUGAAGGAGGGGAUUGCGUCUGAUUAGCUAGUUGGAGGGGUAACGGCCAACCAAGGCGAGUAUCAGUAGCCUGUAUGAGAGGAUUACCGGCCAAAUUGGGACUGAGACACGGCCCAGACUCCUACGGGAGGCAGAAGUGGGGAUUCUUCCGCAAUGGACGAAAGUCUGACGGAGCAACGCGGCGUGAGUGAUGACGGCCUUCGGGUUGUAAAGCUCUGUUAAUCGGGACGCGGUACCGGAAUAGAAAGCCACGGCUAACUACGUGCCAGCAGCCGCGGUAAUAC